AACGAACGCUGGCGGCAGGCCUAACACAUGCAAGUCGAGCGAGGACUUCGGUCCCAGCGGCGGACGGGUGAGUAACGCGUGGGAACGUGCCCUUUGCUUCGGAAUAGCCCUGGGAAACUGGGAGUAAUACCGGAUGAGCCCUUUGGGGGAAAGAUUUAUCGGCGAAGGAUCGGCCCGCGUUGGAUUAGGUAGUUGGUGGGGUAAUGGCCUACCAAGCCGACGAUCCAUAGCUGGUUUGAGAGGAUGAUCAGCCACACUGGGACUGAGACACGGCCCAGACUCCUACGGGAGGCAGCAGUGGGGAAUCUUAGACAAUGGGGGAAACCCUGAUCUAGCCAUGCCGCGUGAGCGAUGAAGGCCUUAGGGUUGUAAAGCUCUUUCAGCUGGGAAGAUAAUGACGGUACCAGCAGAAGAAGCCCCGGCUAACUCCGU
rnacentral:rRNA from 1 species